rnacentral:piRNA from 1 species
UAAAGGAACGAGGAACAGUCCAU